UGCUCCUCUGAYGUUAGCGGCGGACGGGUGAGUAACACGUGGGUAACCUACCUAUAAGACUGGAAUAACUCCGGGAAACCGGGGCUAAUGCCGGAUAAUAUGCAGAACCGCAUGGUUCUGCAAUGAAAGACGGUUUUGCUGUCACUUAUAGAUGGACCCGCGCCGUAUUAGCUAGUUGGUAAGGUAACGGCUUACCAAGGCAACGAUACGUAGCCGACCUGAGAGGGUGAUCGGCCACACUGGAACUGAGACACGGUCCAGACUCCUACGGGAGGCAGCAGUAGGGAAUCUUCCGCAAUGGGCGAAAGCCUGACGGAGCAACGCCGCGUGAGUGAUGAAGGUCUUCGGAUCGUAAAACUCUGUUAUUAGGGAA
rnacentral:rRNA from 1 species